rnacentral:rRNA from 1 species
AGCAGCCGCGGUAAUUCCAGCUCCAAUAGCGUAUAUUAAAGUUGUUGCAGUUAAAAAGCUCGUAGUUGAAUUUCGGGAUUGACGUGAUGGUCAUGCCUUAAGGGGUAUGAACUGUUACAGUUGAUUUCUCACCUUCUGGAGAAACUUGAUGUCCUUUAUUGGGUGUCUUGCGGAUCCAGGACCUUUACCUUGAAAAAAUUAGAGUGUUUAAAGCAGGCAUUUUUGCUCGAAUACAUUAGCAUGGAAUAAUAGAAUAGGACGGCAUGGUUCUAUUUUGUUGGUUUCUAGGAUCACCGUAAUGAUUAAUAGGGAUAGUUGGGGGCAUUAGUAUUCAAUUGUCUAGAGGUGAAAUUCUUGGAUUUAUUGAAGACUAACUACUGCGAAAGCAUUUGCCAAGGAUGUUUUCAUUAAUCAAGAACGAAAGUUAGGGGAUCGAAGACGAUCAGAUACCGUCGUAGUCUUAACCAUAAACUAUGCCGACUAGGAAUCAGACGAUGUUAAUUUUUAAUGUACUCGGUUU